GGAAGGCCCGAACCCACUCCCGUUGAAAAGGUAGGGGAUGAGUUGUGGAUCGGAGUGAAAGGCUAAUCAAGCCCGGAGAUAGCUGGUUCUCCUCGAAAGCUAUUUAGGUAGCGCCUCGUGUAUCACUGCCGGGGGUAGAGCUCUGCUAUGGCUAGGGGGAACUUCGGUUCCUACCAAACCAUUGCAAACUACGAAUACCGGCAAGUGUAAGCACGGGAGACACACGGCGGGUGAUAACGUCCGUCGUGAAAAGGGAAACAACCCAGACCGCCAGCUAAGGUCCCCAAAUUACGGCUAAGUGGUGAACGAUGUGGGAAGUCGCAGACAGCCAGGAGGUUGGCUUAGAAGCAGCCAUCCUUUAAAGAAAGCGUAAUAGCUCACUGGUCGAUGCCAGCAGCCGCGGUAAU
rnacentral:rRNA from 1 species